UACUUUUAUAAAUAUAUAUAUAUAUAUAUUAAGUAGAAAAAAAAAGUUUCACAACACAUUUUAUAAAAACUUUCGAAAAGCUUUCACAUGAAAUAAACAGACUAAAGUCACUUGUCCAAUUGCUGUUUCAGUUCAAAUUGACUUGAAGAAAAUGAAAAGUGAAACUUUUUGUCACUUGUGUACUGGGAUCUCAAAUAUACAAAAAAAAAAAAAAGUGUGUCUAAAAUACAAAGAGAGCAAAUGUUUAUAAUAAAAGUGUUGAAACAAUGAAUAUUUUGUCACUGAAUUACUACGUUAUCGUUUCUAUAGCAACAGCUCAUUCACGGGGACAAGUUUUCUGUAAGGAGAAGUUUAUUUAACAUUUAUGGAAGGAGUCUCCAGUGUCAGUGCUUUGUCACAGUCGGAGUCUUAUUAACUUCAAGAGAGAGAGAAAAGCGAGAGGCUGGUGAGGGAACGACUGUUUAUAGCUGCUCUAACGAUUCCUGACUCCGGACUGGAUCGUUCCUGAGGAAUUAGAGCCGUGAAGGUGAAGGGUAUCAGACUCACGCAGCGGACCACUGCAGCACAUCUGGCGGCUGUGUCCUAAUAGCAGCUUUAGUGAACU